AUCAGGCUAAUGUGGUUGUUCCCUACAGAUCCUGGGUGAACCGAAGGAGAACCGGAAGCUGGCCGCAGAGAUCAGCCUCCAGAACCCUCUGCCAGAGCCGCUGGACAACUGCUGCUACAGCAUUGAGGGGGCCAACCUCACUGGGGGAAACAUCAUCUCUGAGAGGUUGGGCUGCACGGUGGGACCAGGGGAAGACGCCAAAGUCAAAAUCUACUUCACUCCGACCCAUUCUGGCUUGAGAAAACUGGUCGUCGACUUCGAUAGCAACAAGUUGUGUCACGUCAAGGGCUACAGGAAUGUCAUUAUUGGAAAAUGAGGUGUUAUAUAGACCUGAAGGUGGAAACAUAUUCCAUCUGUUUUUCCAUCAUGCUUUUCCAAGCAAAUUUACACUCUUUUAUUUCUACCGACUUAAAAAAAAGCUUUUAUUCUCAUGUAUUUUCUUUCUCUUCUUUUCUUAUAUCAUUCAUUUAAGCUUCCUGUUGUGAGAAAAAAAAAUAUAAGUUAGUAGAGAACUUUGUUAAUCAAGGCAUAUAUUUUAAAGUCUAUUUGUAUUCUUCUCAGUCUGAAGCGAUGAUUAGCAUCACUUCAGAUGCUAAUAGGGCUUAACUUUUUUUUUUUAAAGUUCUACAAUAAAACUCCUGUCUACAACAAAUAAAGAAUUGUGAGAGCUUGAACACAGAUUUUACAAGAGUGACAACUGUUGCAGCAUCUCAUGUAUAUACAUUUUGAUUGUAUCUUGGGAACAGUGAAAUAAAUACGAAUCAUCAUCUGA